CCUACGGGUGGCUGCAGUGGGGAAUAUUGGACAAUGGGGGAAACCCUGAUCCAGCCAUGCCGCGUGUGUGAAGAAGGCCUUCGGGUUGUAAAGCACUUUCGGUCAGAAAGAAGGGUGUGUAGUUAAUAGCUGCAUAUCUUGACGGUACUGACAUAAGAAGCACCGGCUAACUCCGUGCCAGCAGCCGCGGUAAUACGGAGGGUGCAAGCGUUAAUCGGAAUUACUGGGCGUAAAGCGCGCGUAGGCGGUUUGUUAAGUCGGAUGUGAAAGCCCUGGGCUCAACCUGGGAACUGCAUACGAUACUGGCAAGCUAGAGUGCAAUAGAGGGGGGUAGAAUUCCAGGUGUAGCGGUGAAAUGCGUAGAUAUCUGGAGGAAUACCGGUGGCGAAGGCGGCCCCCUGGAUUGACACUGACGCUGAGGUGCGAAAGCGUGGGUAGCAAACAGGAUUAGAUACCCCGGUAGUC
rnacentral:rRNA from 1 species